rnacentral:rRNA from 1 species
CCCUUAGAUGUUCUGGGCCGCACGCGUGCUACACUGAGUGGAUCAGCGGGUCAGGUUGCGCGAAAGUGUUUCCUAAUCUUUAAAUCCGCUCGUGAUGGGGAUUGACGGUUGCAAUUUUCCGUCAUGAACGAGGAAUACCUUGUAAGCGCGGGUCAUCAUCCCGCGCUGAAUACGUCCCUGCCCUUUGUACACACCGCCCGUCGCUCCUACCGAUUGAGUGGUCCGGUGAGGCUUUGGGAUCUGGGCGGAAAGAGCGUUUCGCUGUUUCUGCCCGGAAAACUCAGUCGAACUUUAUCAUUUAGAGGAAGGAGAAGUCGUAACA